AAUAUUGGUCAAUGGGGGCAACCCUGACCCAGCCAUGCCGCGUGUGUGCAGAAGGUCUUCGGAUUGUAAAGCACUUUAAGUUGGGAGGAAGGGCUUUAGACUACUACCCUGAAGUUUUGACGUUCCCAACAGAUUAAGCACCGGAUAACUCUGUGCCAGCAGCCGCGGUAAUACCGAGGGUGAAAGCGUUAAUCGGAAUUCCUAGGCGUAAAGCGCGCGUAGGUGGUUCAGUAAGAUGGGUGUGAAAUCCGCGGGCUUAACCUGGAAACUGCUUUCAUAACUGCUGAGCUAGAGUACGGUAGAGGGUAGUGGAAUUUCCUGUGUAGCGGUGAAAUGCGUAGAUAUAGGAAGGAACACCAGUGGCGAAGGCGACUACCUGGACUGAUACUGACACUGAGGUGCGAAAGCGUGGGGAGCAAAC
rnacentral:rRNA from 1 species